GUACUCACUUCAGCAGCACAUAAACUAAAAUUGGAACGAUACAGAAAAGAUUAACAUUUCCCUGCACGAGGAUGACCCGCGAAUUUGUGAAGCGUUCCAUAUUAAA
ensembl:snRNA U6 U6 spliceosomal RNA